rnacentral:rRNA from 1 species
UACGAAGGGAGCUAGCGUUGUUCGGAAUUACUGGGCGUAAAGGGCGCGUAGGCGGGUUUCCAAGUCGGGGGUGAAAUUCCAGGGCUCAACCCUGGGGCGGCCUUCGAUACUGGGAGCCUGGAGAUCGGGAGAGGUGAGUGGAAUUCCGAGUGUAGAGGUGAAAUUCGUAGAUAUUCGGAGGAACACCAGAAGCGAAGGCGGCUCACUGGCCCGAGACUGACGCUGAGGCGCGAAAGCGUGGGGAGCAAACGGG